UUUUAUUUAUUUUUUCAUUUCACACAGAAUGAUGUUAAAAUAAAUCCUCAGUAAUAUAUAUUUAUAUACUUAUUUCCUUGUGUUGAUAUUUACAAAAGACUGCAGAGCUCUAUGAAGUCUAUGUACACCUAUGAUCAGGUGGACAGGCAAUGUUCAUUGAGGCACGUAUGUACACUUAUAUGUAUAACCUAUGUACAAAUAUCAGACCCUACUGACACAGGAACUCUCAGCUGCAGAAGUCCUGGGCGGGGCAGUGUUGGUGGGGCUGAAAGCUUCCAGAAUAUGUCAGCAAGAAUGAUAAUACCUAUACAUCCUGUGCAAUGCAGUUACAGCUGGUGUCUAAAUUUUCAUGAAGCAAACAAAUAGUUAAAUGACUCCCAACUCCCAUGAGUCUUCCCCACAGGUCCUGCUCCGCCUUCAGCUCCCAUUGGUCCCCGGCCUCUUAUCACCAUGGAGACCCCAGUUCCCUUUUGGCAUCAUCCUUACGAAGCUUUACCAUCAGCCUUGGAGUUCCUUCUUCUAUUGAUCCCAGGGAGGCUUGUUUAUCUGCCUCUCCUCUUUGAGUUUUCAGAAAUUAUUAGAGCUAGGGCACGGAGGGCAGCUGUGGAGCCAUGCCAGAGCAGCAAGGAGCCAGUGCAAACCCUAAUUAGAAUCUGUGCUGUGUUAGCCUAAGUGAGCGGCCAUUUCCACAUUUUAUCUAUCUAUCUAUCUAUAUAUAUAUAUGGGUAUGUGUGUAAUAUAUAAAAUCUCCAGAGACAGCCUAUAUAAUAAGCAUAGAAGCACAUACGUCUAGGAGAGGAAAUAGCAUUCUGCACUCAUGAGCUUUGCAGCUGUGUCCCUGAUGAAAACGAGAGAAUCCUCCCUGAUGGCUGGCACCUUAAUCCUGCCUGUUUCAAGAUUACCCUUCAUGGAGCGAGGGGCGCAGGGAUGCAGAAACCCAGUCCGAGGCCAAUUUGGCCUGGGCAUUGUUUGCGCAGCAGGCUGGAGCUCGAUCAUGGGACUUUCCAGCUUCCUGGGGCCCUUGAAAUGAAGGAAUCAUCCAAGCACGACAACAAAAGGAAACUGGGUCGCUGGAUCCCACGUGAAGGCAGAACUGGGGCAAGCACGGAGCAUGGUCAGACCCUCCCGAGCUGACACUCACCCUUGCCAAAGCCAGCUGGGCUGCUGUCCGUGCUUUCCCCUCUCUCUCUCCUGAGCCUGCAGCUGCUUGCUCCCUCCCAGCGCUACCUGGCAGGUUGCAGUCCUUGCCCUGCAUUCAUAAGCUAAAAAGGCAGGCAUAGCAGCAGCUGACGUGGAAAUUGAGAGCAAAGCGAGCCCCCUCCCCGCCCCAGAAUAUCGUCUCCCUGCCAGCUCCUUCUCUUGCUUCCUUAGCAGUCCAGAGUGUAUGUGCUCAUACAACAUCAGCAUCUAGAGAUCAUUUUCUAGGAGAAGCCAGGCUUCCAGGCCUCAGGAAGACGGAGAAGAGACACAGGACUGAGUCCUCUGAGUAACUACCCAAGGUCCUAGCGGACGGCCGUAUUUACACUGCCCUCCUUUACCUAGAGGAGGAGGCUGCUGUCCACAUUAUUAUAUAAUUACACCUGUUCUGCGCAUCCGUCGGUGGAAUGAUGCAGGCAGUUCUCAGCUGCAAGCUCAUCUGGAACAUAUCUGACUAUUUGAGGAAUGCAGGGGAGCACGGGACGUUAUAUCGGUUUCCAUGCUGAGGUUCACACAGUGUGAGAAGCGGCUGUGCAGACAGGCUGCCUCAGUUCACCAGCUGGGCAGGCUAAGCCUGGGUUAUGGGCUUCUACGGUCUGAUGGCUGCCCACUUGGCCAGACUGGAGGGGCUGCCGGGUGUGUUGGGGGAGGGCAGGCACCCCUGCACCACCUCCACUGCAUCAGAUACCAGUGAGGGGUCCCUCUCACCCUGGUCUAGGGAGGGCACACACGGUCACCUGCAGGAGGUGAGGCUGGACCAACCUGCCAUGUGUCUCAUACACUGCCAGUGAGAUGGAGAACCAGAGCAUGGUUCAGCUCAGCCCCUGCUGUUUCUCCAAAGAGGCGACUGAAUUAUAGGUGCUCGACUGCCUACACUUGCCACCUAGAUCUGAUUGGAAUCAACAACAGAAGGGCUUCUCACUUCCAGUGGUUGCUACGCAUCUCCCCUUCUUGUGUGGGGCAGAGCCAUUCUUUUGCUCUUCAUUAAAAAGGACACUUUCAGAUCUCAUGAAAUUCAAGCCUAGGGCACCAUCAAUGACAAAGAGAGAGCUCAACAGAUCAGUCCUUUGCCAGGUCUGCAAGCUUCCCACUCCCCGAGCGCUACAAAGUUUGGAAUAACUUUUCUGGUCUGCAGGGACGAGGUUACAGCCAACCAGGGCAGACAGAACAAAGGAUAAAGCACCUGGUCCUUAGAUCAGACUUCCCUUUUAUCCCUGAGUCAGGCAGCCACCUGGGAGGAAAGGGAAAGAUGCUGGAGCCUGAUCUUUUGUUAUGAAAGAACUACCUUCUAGAAAGUUCCCUAUGCAGGAGAACAAGAAUCGAACUGGAGAGAUGUUAAGAAUGCAAAGGAAGGUCAUUUAAAAAAUUCAAAUAAAUGCAGUUUAUUUCUUGGAUUGCCAAACGCCUUCCACAUUAGUGAAGCUAAGGGGACCGGGCACUGUAUAAUUGUAUAAUUUUUGAAACAAUGGUAUACAUAUAUACAUAUACUAUACACGUAUAUACACAGAUAUAUGUAUAUAUGAAAAACCUCGGAUAACUCAGGACUAAUUAACCAAAACCUCGACUAAUGAGAAUUAUGUUUCUCCCUACAUUUUCAGUCGAACGAGGCAAAUGAGAGCGAGGGCAUUAUCUGAUGAGCCCAAGUAGCCAAAGUCCAGGUACGUACGUCCUACAGCCAGCAUCCCUUUCGCCUGUUUCUUUGGUUUUCUCCACCUCCACGACUACGCAAUGAGCACUGAGGGGGAGAAUGUUGACCCUGAGCAGAGCAAGGUCUUCUGUCUCUGUCGUCUUCGAACAUUCUACUUACUAAGGCGGGCAAGUUUAUACUAACCUACUUAAGAAAGUCCCCCCCCCCAACAACAAAGGUUGAACCAAAACAUGUUUUCCCAGCCCCACCCAAAUAACCAUAAUUGUAAAGCAACAGGGAUUCUUCCUUCCCUGAGGAUUUCGCCAUCAGUUAACUGAGGUUCUGCUGUAUACAUGCGUAUAGAGCAAGGUAGACAGAAACGGAGUACAAGGGGACCCUGGAGCUGCCAGCCUUCCCUGAUGGUCCCGUUGAAAAUAUAACCUCACAGGUUUCUUUCUUAUUUUUUUUUUUCCAGGAAAGGAGAUGCUUCUGAAGUCCCCAGUUAUGUGUGCAAAUAUUUGUGCAACUGUACACCGUAGUGGGUGGUGGGGGUCUUUGUUUCACCGGUGUCAUGCCCUAACCACCCAGACCUCAACCCACAGGCACCUGCUUCCCUCCAUCGCUCUCAUGGAGCCCCUUUGGUUAAACAAGGCAGCUUAUUUGGAAGGGCAGCCGGAGGGUAAUGCCCAAAUCUGCCCAGGCUACCAUCCCAGGUGCAAACCUUCAGGCCACCUUCCCCCAGCAUCCAUCUCCCAGAAGAGCGGGGAGGGAGGGAAACAAAUGGAUCAAGUAAUGGCUUUUAGUGCGUGGAAACGAUCUUCUGUAAUGGCUCAGGAUGCUUUAUUCUUAUCUAUCGGUAAGAGCAUUCCUGCAGGCUUCCGUCACACCCUGCCGGUCCGACUCAAAGUCCACGAGAUGGGCGGGUGUGAGGUCAGUCACACUCAAGAUUUCAGUGCCGAGAGGGUGUGAGAAUGCCAUGUGAGGGUGGGCCCAAGGGGUAGGUGGGAGCGGGGAGGGACAGGGGCACGGAUGGAGACAGAGGGGUGCACAUGGGGAAGAGUCAGAGCGACAAGAACACCUUCUCCUGCAGACCUCUCGCCUGUGUGUGUCUACAUCCCACAGGAGGGUCUGAGCCUCAGAGGGCAGGAGUCACGUGACCACGUGGGAAGAAGAGGGAACUACAGCGACAGCGAACCGAUGCCCAGAAGCCAAGGGCAUCAACUGAGAGUCCAGGUACGAUCCCUUUUCAGUCCUGAGAACAAGGUUUUGAAAUAGCUAUUGCUAAAGAAAACAGUCACUAUGUAUUUUAUUGCACUUUUCCUCUUUAAAAAAAUAAACGAUGAGAGAUGGAGCUGAACUUUGGUGGGAAGGGAAGCAGAAAGAAGGGAAAAUUGAACUAGAUUUGUUUGAUGGAGAGUCCCAUCCCAGCCUGCUUGCUGCUUUGAUGAGAGGACAGGGCUGAUCUCACCAAGGCCAAGGCUGAGGUUCUACAUGAUGGUCACCUCCAGCCAUCUGGACCUCUCCCAGCAUCCCACGCUCUGCCAGUGGGCUCAGGUGGCUAAUGAUGUUAAUGAGGUUAAGGUCACGGGUUCAAACCUGGCAAGGGACACUUUGCCAAGGCCGGGGGAGUCUCCACUGUGUAACCAAGGAGCACCCUGGACAUUACAGCCUCUGUGGACCAGCCCUCGCAGACCAGGCUAUUGGGUCAUCUGUGUGGACUUGCUUUGAAGGAAAGGACACAGCCAGGAGGUAUAUAUUAAUGGAUUAUCAGUUGUUCCGGGUCCUUCCACACUAGCACCUGGGUUUCUGGUGGGAGGAAGGUGACCAGGUAGACAUCUCAUGAGAUUCCUAGGCUUAAUCCGAGCUCCGCUUGACCAUGCUGGCCCAUCUUUUUGCUUUAAACUUUGGGGUUAUUUUUAUGAAAUCUGGGGAUAAGGGGGAGAGAAGAGACUAGAGGAAGAGAUUUCUUGGAGGAUACUGAGGGGUAUAAAUGCAGGCUAGGGAAAGGGGAUUAAAUCUGAUUUUUUUGUUUAGGCCUUAAUUUAUAGGCAUGGGGGCAGAGCAAUGGAUCUGAGUAUCUGUGCACAUCUCAUGUGUGUUAUCUAUGUUCUUGGGGAUGUGUGCUCUAUUGUGUGUACCUAAUAUGAGUAAAUGCAUUGUGUGUAUAAAUCAAGAUUGUGUGUAUUGUGUGUAGAGAAACAAUAGUAAAAUAUUCUUUGGGUAUGCUGUAGUAUACCCACGUGUCCAUGUCAUUUUUGGGUCUUCUGCAUCUGAAUUGCAGGUCGUGCUUUGUAAUGAUAUAUGCAGGUAUUGUGUGUGUCCUAUAUUGGUACAUACAUUCCAUGUCUGUGCCGAGUGUGCAUAUUUGGGUUAUAGAUCUAAAUGUAUAUCUCCUGUGUAUGCCCUUUUCAUUAAUUUGGUUCUGUGUAUUUUGCAUGUGUGGUGCCUGCUUUGGAUGUGUGUGUGGCAACAGAGUAGAUCUCUUUGGUGGGGUGGGCCUGUCUGUGUGCCUCUGUGGGUGAUCAUUUCGUAGUCUCAGGUCAAGGACACUGGGGUAAAAUAUCUACCCCCGACCUGGGGCUUAGGUAUGGAUUGUUUCACCAUCUAGGUUCCCAGGGUCUGCGUCCCUCCAUCCCACGUCUUGGAAAUGCAGCACCACCUCCCGCGACGGAGAGGAAGAGAAGCCCAGAGUCUUUGCGCCGGGCAUGGGAUGCCAUGCAGACCCCUGGGGAUGUGGGUGACCAGGAACUAGUGAGCACCCUGGGCUGGUGCCCCACCCCCCAAGGUAACUGCAGGUGCUAGAGAGCCAGCAGUGAGGCUGAGGCUGGGGCUGGAGCUGGAGCCACGGCUGGGCAGCCCGACCACGCAACUUGCUGAGCUUGGGCAAUUUAAGCUAUUAGGUCAAAAGGCAAAGAAGUCUAGUUUGUGAGACAAAAGCCUCCCCACCCCCACUCCUUCCAGCGCCAGCUGGAACUUGACCUUUGGGCCAUGCAGUGCUCCUUUUCUC
rnacentral:lncRNA from 9 species